AUGGCUCCGGUGGGAGUGGAGAAGAAACUGCUGCUGGGCCCCAAUAGGCCCGCCAUAGCGGCCGCUGGCAACCUGACCAGAGGAGGAGGAAGGCCAGAGCCUAUGGUCCUCGAUCCUGAGCGAAGUGUCCACUCAUGCCAGGUUGAAGCUGCCAUCCGGCAAGAACAUCCUGGUUUUCGGUGAAGAUGGGUCUGGUAAAACAACUGUCAUGACUAAACUACAAGGAGCUGAGCAUGGCAAAAAAGGAAGAGGCCUAGAGUAUCUCUACCUCAGUGUCCAUGAUGAGGACCGAGAUGAUCACACAUGCUGCAAUGUGUGGAUUUUGGAUGGAGACCUAUACCACAAAGGCCUUCUGAAGUUUGCAGUUUCUGCUGAAUCCCUGGUCAUUUUUGUUGCAGACAUGUCUAGGCCUUCGACAGUGAUGGAAUCUCUACAUAAAUGGGCUAGUGUUUUACAUGAGCACAUUGAUAAAAUGAAAAUUCCACCAGAAGAAAUGAGGGAGCUGGAACGAAAAUUUGUAAAAGAUUUUCAAGAUUAUAUUGAGCCUGAAGUAGGUUGUCAAGGUUCCCCACAGAGGAGAGGCCCUCUGACCUCAGGAUCGGAUGAAGAAAAUGUUGCCCUGCCUCUGGGUGAUAAUGUGCUGACUCAUAACUUGGGGAUCCCAGUGUUGGUGGUGUGUACAAAGUGUGAUGCAGUGAGUGUCCUGGAAAAGGAGCACGAUUACAGGGAUGAGCAUUUGGACUUCAUCCAGUCACACCUGCGGAGGUUCUGCCUCCAGUAUGGAGCUGCCUUGAUUUAUACAUCAGUGAAAAAAGAGAAAAACCUUGACUUGUUGUUUAAGUAUAUUGUUCAUAAAACAUACGGUUUCCACUUCACCACACCUGCCUUAGUUGUGGAAAAGGAUGCUGUUUUUAUACUUGCAGGCUGGGACAAUGAAAAGAAAAUAGCUAUUUUACGUGAAAAUUUCACAACUGUGAAGCCAGAAGAUGCAUAUGAAGAUUUUAUUGUGAAACCUCCAGUGAGAAAGCUGGUUCACGACCAAGAGUUGGCAGCCGAGGAUGAGCAGGUGUUCCUAAUGAAGCAACAGUCACUCCUUGCCAAAGCAGCCAGCCACGCCUGCAAGAGCCUCCGAAUCCCCUGCAAGAGGACCCUCUGGCUCUCCAAGGACCCAGGGCGGGGGAGGACCCGCUAGUGUGCCUAGUGCCUCUCCAGGCACAUCAGUAAAGAAGCUGGACCCAAAUAUCAAAAAUAAUGCAACAAGUGAAGGGGUGUUGGCCAGUUUCUUCAAUAGUCUGUUGAGUAAAAAGAUAGGCUCUCCUGGAAGUCCUGGUGCUGGUGGGGUACAGAGCACAGCCAAGAAGUCAAGACAAAAGACUGUGUUGUCAAAUGUUCAGGAAGAACUGGAUAGAAUGACUCAGAAACCAGACUCCAUGGUAACAAACUCUUCAACAGAAAAUGAAGCCUGAUCCUCCUUAAAACAUGCAUAUGUCCAAUGACCAAAUAACUAUCUAUAUUGAUCUGCUAAGACCAGGAUUUUUCUGAUACAGCACAUGCUAUCAGUUUUGGGGGGCAGGGGAGAUGAACUUAAAAAAAAAAACUUCAUUGGCUUAUCUGAGUGUGAAAUGCACAUUUAGGAAGGUUAUAUGUCAGAUCCCUUUGUUAAGGAUAACCCUUGGACUCUUGGGCACGUGGCUCUCUUGAGGGAGGCAAGCACAGCUGGGCUUCUUAUGGAGAUGAAGGUAAAGUGAGAGAAAGAGGGCUCACUUUCUAUCAGGGUGAAGCAAAUGAGACCAGGAAAGCAUUGAUCAGAUGGUGGUUAGUCUGACCAGUUUCAUGUUAGAAAAUUCACUUGUUCUUGAGAAGCAGAUUAAGUAGCAGAAAGUCCAGGAAAGAGAAUGACUAAAAGGAGGAAUGAGAGAAGUGAUGGUGGGGAAGGUGAGCGUUGAGGGAGUUAGAGGAAGGAGGAGAUGAGCAGUG